rnacentral:tRNA from 1 species
GGCUGAGCGGUAAAGCGCUUGGUUUCUGAACCGAGGGUCUCGGGUUCGAAUCCCGG